AAAAUAAUGAAACUGUAUGGUGCACAAAGUGUCUUUUUCAUUGCAGUUUCUGCUGCUGGGAAAGCGGUAGAUCACUAUGACUUCUGUACCGUGAAAUGAAGCUUAUGAUAUAUAAAAUACUGCUGCUUGCUGGUCACUGAUUGAAGAUCGUUCAGCUACCUUUGGCCAAUCUUACCAACGGGAUAUAAUAAGAACUGAUGCAGGUUUAUAGCUAUAUGUAUUGUCUAUUCGAAACAAAGUUAGUACGCUUUUUAAACUGAUGUUGGAUUUUUCUCCAGAUACAGGCAACCCACUUAACUUUGGAAGUAGUGCGCUGGAUUCGUCUAAAGAUAUGCUAAACAACCGGAGGAAAAUAAAAUAAUUUGUAAAACAA